CACCUCCUCGGAGCACAGCACCAUCCCAGCCUUUCCUCCUCCCCCCACCCCCGCCACUUCCCCUGAUCUGCCCCUUUAAGAAAAAGCGACCUUUCUCUCUCUCCCUAACCCUUUACAUGCUGCCCUUCCCCAGUGGACAAUAUUUAAAGAUGGAAGGUAACAUCCAGGAAGAGGUCCGGGGGUGUUGCUUUAGAAGGGAUCAAGGUGAUUUAUAUUAAUCCUGUUGUGGUCAGGGCAAAGGAGGUCUGAAAACAUUUGUUAUAUUUUCGGGGGGGA